rnacentral:tRNA from 1 species
GCCUUCGUGGUGUAGUGGUCCGCACACUCGACAUGUAUUCGAGAGAUCCGUGGUUCAAAUCCCGGCAAGAGCA